AGGGCUAUAGCUCAGUUAGGUAGAGCACCUCGUUUACACGCGCGCCAAUGCUUUUUCAGGGGAGUCCAUCAUGCAAUCAAGGGAAUUGAUCUGAGAGAUCGAUGUCUUACUCCAUUGAUUCUAGGAAACGAGAGAACAAUAGCCUGACAAAUAUUAGGUUUGGUCCUAUUUUAUAGGGUUUGGGUGCCAAAUAGAACCAAUCAUUGAUUUGAUAAUUGAUAAGGUGAAUACCCAAUCCAUUCAAUGCUAGGCUUAAUGAGUAUGGGGACCUCAAAAGAACAACCUCUUUUCGUCCUAUGAACUUUGAGGUGUAUGAAGUAUCAUAUUUGACUCUUGCAGCGGAACGAUAGAGACUCCAUUGGGGUUGAUCCAGGCCAGAAGCAGACCUACGUCAAGGUAACCCUUUGAAACACUUUGGUAUUGCUCCCGGAUCAGAAGAAAAAGAAGGAAACGGAGCAUAUGGAACCAUAUCGUUAUCUUUCUGUAAAGAAAAAGAUGGUGGACUAACUGAUCUUUCCAUCAGUUGAUGAAAGAGCCCAAUGCAAAAGCAAAAAAAGUGCAUGUUGGGUUUUUGAAACAGUUCGAAUCAUUUUGAUAAUAAUCAGUUUGAUCUGUUUUACCGAGAAGGUCUACGGUUCGAGUCCGUAUAGCCCUA